rnacentral:snoRNA from 1 species
AUGCCAUGGUGAGGGCAAUUGGCGCAAAACAUCUUAAAUCUAUCCCAAAUUUGGUAGAAACUUUCAUCCUUUUGUUGAUGAAAAGUGGCAAUCCUUUGUCUUCCUUU